GAUAAAUGCAGACGGAGAGUAGAGUCCGAAACAAUCGUGAUUUUUCGAGCAAGUUCUAUCCUCAGUCCUCGCCCUCACCACAAACCCUAACCCUUUUUCAUUCUAAGUCCCCCCUCCCCCCCGCGCGUCUCUCUCUCAGCCCCUCGAGCCAAAAAUGUCGCACUUCGGAAGAACAGGCCCUCCGGACAUUACCGACACAUACUCUCUUCUUGUCCUCAACAUUUCCUUCCGUACGACUGCGGAUGAUCUAUUCCCGUAUUUUGAUAAAUACGGCAAGGUCGUGGAUAUCUUUAUCCCUAGAAAUCGAAGGACUGGUGACUCAAGGGGCUUUGCAUUUGUGCGGUACAAGUAUGCUGAUGAGGCACAAAAAGCAGUGGAUAGGCUUGAUGGAAAAGUUGUUGAUGGUCGAGAGAUAACAGUUCAAUUUGCUAAAUAUGGGCCAAACGCAGAGAAAAUCGACAAAGGGAGGAUUAUCGAAUCGUCCUCGAGGUCAAGAAGUCGCAGUCCUCGUAGGAGAUACCGGGAUGACUACAGAGAUCGGGGUUCCAAGAGAAGAAGCCGCAGUCGAAGUUUUGAUAGAUACGAUCGUGAUAGGCAUGGGAGGGAUAGGGAUUAUCGCCACCGCAGCAGGAGCCGUAGCAAUAGUCCCGAUUACCAUAGGGCCCGAGGAAGAGGUCAUUAUGAUGAUGAGCUUCGAAGCCGAAGCCGAAGCCGAAGCCGAUCGAUGGAUAAUGCCUCCCCUGAUCAGCGUAGCAGGCAUAUCCCUAGUUCUCGCAGAAGUCCUUCCCCACAGAAGUCUUUGUCUCCUAGGGUGGAAAGUUCUGAUAGGCGAAGCCAUCAUGGACGGUCCCCAACUUCUCAUAGUAUUUCACCCAGGGGCCAUCCUGCUGAUUCUCGAAGCCAAUCCCCAUGAAAGUCAGAUGUUGAUAUGAGUCAUUGUCUUUGAAUGAUCAUCCCGGUUGUUCUGAAAAUUCAUGGAGAUAUCGUUCUGCUGUUCUUAUCUGAAUCCUAAGGGCUGGUUUUGUUAUGUUCGGGGAACAAUGGUGGGGGCUUGAUAGACAGAUGUUGAGUUUUAGCUGUUGAUGCUGUUCCUAAAAUGUAGAUGGAUGGUCGUGAUAUUGAUUGCUGGUUGCAGCAGUAUGCUGGUUUUAGAAGUAUGAUUGUUUUAGCAGUAUGCUGGUUGCCGAGAGCUAUAUAUGUUAACUAGUUCCCUCUGGAAAUCAUCUUUGAGGUUCUAGUUGCUGUGAUGCUCUAAAGACAAACGUUGAACGUGUACUUAACCUCUAGCUGAUGCUGCACAAUGAGAUGGACCAAUGAUUCAUUUCCGUGAUCUGGCUACGGAACAUGAACUACAAAUUCUAUAUGUGGGUUCUUUAGUUCUGGUGUUAAAUUUUGCUGCCAGAAAAAAUGAGACACGGUAACGAGUUAUGUGAUUUUGUUUAGGGUUAUUGGUCUUUACAAUGCUUAACCCAUCCUUUAAGAUUAUAAUUUAUGCUUUUUAAUGUGGUGACUGGUGAGAUGUUUUAGCACACGGGGUCCAUGACCGUAGCUGUGAAGUGGUUGCUGAUGCCUGUUGAUCUAUGAUUGGCUCGUGAUUAACUCUGAAAUAUUAGUGACUAAACAAUGCCACCUGGCCGUUGCUGCCCUCUUGCUUGGUUCGGGUUGGCAAUGUUACUGGCCACUGUGGCAUUGAUUGUAGCUACCUAGCUGUGUUGCUGGCCUGCGAAAUAUUUAUAAAUCUGAUCUAACAGAGGCAUGGCAUUUUGCUUUGUGCUCUUGGAUUUAUGGUCUCA